rnacentral:lncRNA from 1 species
AAAAAUUAUCCUUUUAGAAAAAUUAACUUUUUAAAUUCAUAAAAAAAUUAUGUAUCUAAUCUAUAAUUCAUAUUUUUAAUAAUGAAUUUAAAAUUUUGCUUAUAUACCAAAACAACUUUUUUUAAUAAACAAAACAAGCGACUCCAGUAUGUUCCAAACUCCAAACGGAAAAACAACAAAAGUGGGUUUUUUUUAAAACUGGAAAUGAGAGAAAGUUGUUUAGAAAAACCAAACUGAGAAAACCUCUGAAUUUGUGCUGACUCACCGAGUCACCAACUCGUUAUUAGGCCAAGUUGGUGUCUUUUUCUUUACGUNNNNNNNNNNNNNNNNNNNNNNNNNNNAGCCUUCAAAAAGUAAAUAAAAACCAUUGUUUUAGUCAAAAAAGCUGAGAAAGUUGCAAAAUGCAAAGUUUAUUGGGAGUGAUGGUGAAGAACUAGAUCUGAAUGUUCAACAAGUUCAAGUAACUGCAACUCAAAGGUUUCAACUUUGAAUCAAAGGGUCAUUAAGGUUUUGGUUUUUUUUUUUUUUGUCUCACUGUCAGAAAAUG